rnacentral:ncRNA from 1 species
UCAUAAGGCGGAAUCCGAAAGAAGGUUUUGGAAAAACUCUGGCCUGACGAACAAAACCACGUCAGACCGUAAGCGAGGGUAAAACUGCUAAACAAGAUAAAGCCCAAUAGCUGCACGGAAUCGCUUGCGGUAGACAUGGGAAGGAU